rnacentral:rRNA from 1 species
CAGCAGCCACGGGAAUACGGAGGGCGCGAGCGUUACCCGGAUUUACUGGGCGUAAAGGGCGUGUAGGCGGCCUGGGGCGUCCCAUGUGAAAGGCCACGGCUCAACCGUGGAGGAGCGUGGGAUACGCUCAGGCUAGAGGGUGGGAGAGGGUGGUGGAAUUCCCGGAGUAGCGGUGAAAUGCGCAGAUACCGGGAGGAACGCCGAUGGCGAAGGCAGCCACCUGGUCCACUUCUGACGCUGAGGCGCGAAAGCGUGGGGAGCAAACCGGAUUAGAUACCCGCGUAGUCCCUGUCUCUUAUAC